rnacentral:rRNA from 1 species
CCUACGGGUGGCAGCAGUGAGGAAUAUUGGUCAAUGGGGGAAACCCUGAUGCAGCGACGCCGCGUGAGUGAAGAAGUCAUUCGUUAUGUAAAGCUCUAUCAGCAGGGAAGAUAAUGACGGAACUUGAGGAGGACGCCCCGGCAAACUACGUGCCAGCAGCCGCGGUAAUACGUAGGGGGCUAGCGUUAUCCGGAAUUACUGGGCGUAAAGGGUGCGUAGGUGGUUUCUUAAGUCAGAGGUGAAAGGCUACGGCUCAACCGUAGUAAGCCUUUGAAACUGGGAAACUUGAGUGCAGGAGAGGAGAGUGGAAUUCCUAGUGUAGCGGUGAAAUGCGUAGAUAUUAGGAGGAACACCAGUUGCGAAGGCGGCUCUCUGAACUGUAACUGACACUGAGGCACGAAAGCGUGGGGAGCAAACAGGAUUAGAUACCCGUGUAGUC